rnacentral:rRNA from 1 species
AUUGAACGCUGGCGGCAGGCUUAACACAUGCAAGUCGAGCGAGCGGCGGACGGGUGAGCAAUGUCUGGGAAACUGCCUGAUGGAGGGGGAUAACUACCGGAAACGGUAGCUAAUACCGAAUAACCUCAGAUCGGCCCAGAUGGGAUUAGAUAGUAGGGGGGGUAAUGGCUCACCUAGGCGACGAUCCCUAGCUGGUCUGUGAGGAUGACCAGCCACACUGGAACUGAGACACGGUCCAGACUCCGACGGGAGGCAGCAGUGGGGAAUAUUGCACAAUGGGCGAAAGCCUGAUGCAGCCAUGCCGCGUGUGUGAAGAAGGCCUUCGGGUUGUAAAGCACUUUCAGCGAGGAGGCGUUACUCGCAGAAGAAGCACCGGCUAACUCCGUGCCAGCAGCCGCGGUAAUUC